GACGAACGCUGGCGGCGUGCCUAAUACAUGCAAGUUGAGCGCUGAAGGUUGGUACUUGUACCAACUGGAUGAGCAGCGAACGGGUGAGUAACGCGUGGGGAAUCUGCCUUUGAGCGGGGGACAACAUUUGGAAACGAAUGCUAAUACCGCAUAAAAACUUUAAACACAAGUUUUAAGUUUGAAAGAUGCAAUUGCAUCACUCAAAGAUGAUCCCGCGUUGUAUUAGCUAGUUGGUGAGGUAAAGGCUCACCAAGGCGAUGAUACAUAGCCGACCUGAGAGGGUGAUCGGCCACAUUGGGACUGAGAAACAGCCCAAACUCCUACGGGAGGCAGCAGUAGGGAAUCUUCGGCAAUGGACGAAAGUCUGACCGAGCAAAGCCGCGUGAGUGAAGAAGGGUUUAGGAUCGUAAAAAUCUGUUGGUAGAGAAGAACGUUGGUGAGAGUGGAAAGCUCAUCAAGUGACGGUAACUACCCAGAAAGGGACGGAUAAAUACGUG
rnacentral:rRNA from 1 species